AGAAUCAACGCUGGCGGCGUGCCUAACACAUGCAAGUCGAACGAGAAAGUGGAGCAAUCCAUGAGUAAAGUGGCGCACGGGUGAGUAACACGUGACUAACCUACCCUCGAGUGGGGAAUAACCUACGGGAAACCGGGCUAACACCGCAUAACAUCUACGGAUCAAAUGCGUAAGCAGCUUGAGGGAGGGGUCGCGGCUGAUUAGCUAGUUGGCGGGUAAUGGCCCACAGGCAGUGAUCAGUA
rnacentral:rRNA from 1 species